rnacentral:tRNA from 1 species
GGGUUAGUCCUGAAAGGCAUAUCUAGCAAGCUUUUCAGAACGGCGGUCUAGGGACUUAAAAUCCGUUGACCGCAAGGUCGUGAGAGUUCGAGUCUCUCCGCCCCCA